CAUCUCCAUUCCUAGUAUCUUAGAUUCGUCCAGAAAUAAUUCUUCCGGCUGUCUCCCAUGAUCUGUUGUACAUGUGCAACUCCUCAACGUUGCAGAAUCUAACAUGAGAGAAAUGAUUAUCCAUGAACUGGUUAAUGAUCUACCACAGUUUUGAUGCAGGAGAGAUUUCGUGGUUACCUGGUGAUUGUAGGAGGCAAGGCAUCGGGAGCCGGUACAAGUGACAGUGCCAUCACCCUCUUGAGUCGAGGUGACGGAGAAUGCAUCAAGUUGCCAUGGAGGAAGCUUCAGGACAGGUCACGUGGAAGGAUCGAGCAAGGGUCUAAGGCGAAAUAUGCUGUUAGGACGGUAAUGUUGGAAGUAAUUUUUGGUGGAAGUAAUGGUGGUUGAUGAUGGCAAUAAGGGUAGGGGUUGGCCGUGAUUUUGGAACCAGGUAACCACGAGCAUUAACUGAGGAUGGUUGAAACUGAGCUAUGUUUGAGGAAGUGAUGUUGGCUGACGAGCAGAGAGGGUGCCAUGGAUUAAUUGGGCUUGUUGGGUUUGGCCCACAUAGGCUGGUGAGGGGCGAUUCUAGAUCAGCUGAAAAAGGUUUGACGAAGGAACGGCGGACCGCCUGAUGACGGAACUCGUUCCCCCUUUUUAAGUAGUAGAGAUUGUUGCCUUCCCAGAAAAGGAGCUAUCUAUGGUAAGAUGAUAAAUUCGUCAUUAUGUUGCCUUCCCAAAAUUUGAGCCUAGUCUAUGGUGGUGCUGUCGAUGGAUUGGCCAAAAAUCACCAAGUAUAGAGCUUUCUUUUUAGGAGGAAACCAGAUUUUAUGCCUUUUAUCAGGUUUCUAUUUAGGUAAGAUGGAUUUUAUGCCUUUUUGUUUACACGCUGGAUAUCCUGCUUUCAAAGCACUAUUGAUCGGUGUUCCUUAUCUGUCCACUAU